rnacentral:rRNA from 1 species
CGGAGGGUGCUAGCGUUGUUCGGAUUGACUGGGCGUAAAGGGCGCGUAGGCGGUUUUAUCAGUCAGGCGUGAAAGCCCCGGGCUUAACCUGGGAACUGCGUUUGAUACUGUAGAACUUGAGAAUGGAAGAGGAAAGCGGAAUUCCUAGUGUAGAGGUGAAAUUCGUAGAUAUUAGGAGGAACACCAGAGGCGAAGGCGGCUUUCUGGUCCAUUACUGACGCUGAGGCGCGAAAGCGUGGGGAGCAAACAGGAUUAGAUACCCUGGUAGUCCACGCUGUAAACGAUGAGUGCUAGACGUCGGACGUUACGCGUUCGGUGUCGCAGCUAACGCAUUAAGCACUCCGCCUGGGGAGUACGGUCGCAAGAUUA